ensembl:lincRNA 2810407A14Rik RIKEN cDNA 2810407A14 gene
ACUGAAGUAGAAGAUCUUGUCACCAAAGCUGGAUUCUGCCCGGCUUUAAUUUUCCUGUCUCCCCUGGAGAGAUGGGACACAUUGAUUGUCUUGGGGGAUCAGUUUUAUUCCAGAAACUUCUUUCUGGAUCAUUAAUUCUGGCGGAACACACUUAACUUGCCAUCUUCCCAGGAGAAUCCUUCUGGUGAGAAAUGGAGGAACAGAAUCCUGCAUGCCGGUUAUAGAAUUUUCAUGUUGACAUUGUAGGAGUUCUUCUUUAAGCCACUUCCAGAAUUGCCUCAAGACGUCAGAAGGGGGCGUGGGUCCCACCAAAGUUGAAUUAUAGAAAAUGGCAAGCUGCCACAUGGAUACUGGAAAUCAAACCAGAGCCCUCUGAACAAGCUACAAGGUUUUAACUGCUCAGCCACCCCGAAGCUUCCCAAAAUUUCCGAUGAACUUAAACACUGUAUUUCCAUUGAUAUGUUAUCACAACACUGGUCUAUGGAGUUUCUGGAAAAUGGCAGUCAUAACUUUCAUCCGGAGAGCAUCCUUGUAUGUCUCACCUCAUGAACAAGACCUUUGAUCUCCCGAAACUACAUCUUCCUGGUAUGGUGUUACCCACCUGCAGGCCGCUCCGUCUUCACAAGGGAGUCUUUUCCAGGAGCACAUAAGAAUUCAUCUUGCGAUGUCAUCCACUCAAGGGCACGAGCUUCUAAGUCUCCUUGGGAUUCCAUUGCUGUGAAGAGACACCAUAACCACCACAACUCUUGUAAAAGAAAGCAUUGAAUUGAGGCUGGCUUACAGUUCAGAGGUUCAGACCAUUGUCAUCAUGUUGGGGAAGCAUGGGAGCAUGCAGGCGGACAUGGAGUUGGGGAGUAGCUGAGUGUUCUACAUCGGGAUCAGCAGGCAACAGGGACAGUAAGAGGUGUCAAGAUGGUACUCAAGUGUGAGAGAUGGGAGAGGAGGGAAGAGAGCCCUUCACGUGCAUCAAGAGAGUAUUCAAGGGGAGAGGAAAAUUACUGGAGAUCCCUACCCUAGGAGUCGGCUUUCAUCAAGGAAGAAACUCCUAAGCCACUUCUAGCUGCUGCAGUGCUGUGACUUGACCUGUUUGCGAAAGUCACAAGGAGAGACUGAACAAGAAGUGUGUGAACGGAAUGAGAGGUUUGUUAAUUUCUGCAAGUUGAUCACUGCGGUGGGCACCUGCCUCAGUGAACCAUCUUGUGCCCUGUCUAUAUAUAGUCCGUCCCUGGCAUUUGAUGGCAGACUUGACUUCUAAUUGACAUGCAGAUAUGAUACCCUGGUAGAGAAACUAUAUCUUCAAACUUUGAAUUCUGAGCUUCUCCUGCCAAUGUGCAGUUGUCAAACUUGGGGGCUGAACUUUGACCUCCCCUACCCCCUCAGGCCAGAAUGUUACAGAGCUUUUAAGCCUGAAAACCACAGACAUCUGUGCUAAGCUGUAGUUACAUUUUUCUACCAGUCAGGAUUCAGGACUAGGGGCCUUCACUGGGAACAUUUCUCUGUGUGGCACAUUUAUCCUGUUCUCAUUGGUUGGUUGAUACCGCUGUGGAGGGGUGACUUGCCUAGUAUUCCUGUGUCUGCCAAGGAGGAUGUCAGCUACAGCAGGGAGGUCUUGGGAACUUAAAUUUUAUUUGACUCCUAUUCAAAAUGGAAGUUUUAUUCAAAAUGGCUUCAGCUUGGUUUCUUCUUACACAGUAUCACACGGUAAGGGCGAGCUUCUGCUCCUAGUGUACCAGUCAUGUGAACGCAGGCAAAGGAAGCUGACACAGUAGACAUGGCUUCAAUCUUGAGGUGGUUUUACCAUUUUCCAAUUAUCUGAUGGUGUGAAGGUUGCGCUUUAUUUUUGCCCACAGUAAACAUAUGCUAAUGAUGAGCACAGAGACUUAUUGAAUAAACAACCCCUUGUGUAGUAUCUAAUAAUGUAAUGAGGUAGUCAACAUUUUUAUGUUCUAAAAUAGCCUUUGUGUUAGCAGUCUCAGCCCAAACCCCAGGCUUCUUUAAGUUGCGUGCACAUGAGCGGUGAUGGUUGAUAGCACAGGUAUGCUAAAUAUGUCUUUGAUUUAGGAAGUAUUCAACUUGUGAUGGAUGUUUCAGGACAUAGCCAUUGUAUGUAAGUUGUGAGACGGGUAUACACAACUGCUGUCUACCAAUUAAAUAAAAGUAAAACAAAACC